AGAGUUUGAUCAUGGCUCAGGACGAACGCUGGCGGCGUGCCUAAUACAUGCAAGUCGAGCGGAUCUCUAGGAGCUUGCUCCUGUUGAUUAGCGGCGGACGGGUGAGUAACACGUGGGCAACCUGCCUGUAAGUCUGGGAUAACACCGGGAAACCGGUGCUAAUACCGGAUAAUCCUUUUCCUCUCAUGAGGAAAAGCUGAAAGUCGGUUUCGGCUGACACUUACAGAUGGGCCCGCGGCGCAUUAGCUAGUUGGUGAGGUAACGGCUCACCAAGGCGACGAUGCGUAGCCGACCUGAGAGGGUGAUCGGCCACACUGGGACUGAGACACGGCCCAGACUCCUACGGGAGGCAGCAGUAGGGAAUCUUCCACAAUGGACGAAAGUCUGAUGGAGCAACGCCGCGUGAGCGAUGAAGGCCUUCGGGUCGUAAAGCUCUGUUGUUAGGGAAGAACAAGUACCGGAGUAACUGCCGGUACCUUGACGGUACCUAACCAGAAAGCCACGGCUAACUACGUGCCAGCAGCCGCGGUAAUACGUAGGUGGCAAGCGUUGUCCGGAAUUAUUGGGCGUAAAGCGCGCGCAGGCGGUCCUUUAAGUCUGAUGUGAAAGCCCACGGCUCAACCGUGGAGGGUCAUUGGAAACUGGGGGACUUGAGUGCAGAAGAGGAAAGCGGAAUUCCACGUGUAGCGGUGAAGUGCGUAGAGAUGUGGAGGAACACCAGUGGCGAAGGCGGCUUUCUGGUCUGUAACUGACGCUGAGGCGCGAAAGCGUGGGGAGCAAACAGGAUUAGAUACCCUGGUAGUCCACGCCGUAAACGAUGAGUGCUAAGUGUUAGGGGGUUUCCGCCCCUUAGUGCUGCAGCUAACGCAUUAAGCACUCCGCCUGGGGGAGUACGGCC
rnacentral:rRNA from 1 species